AUAAGUAUAAACGACUUGAUCGUGAAACCGCGAACGGCUCAUUAUAACAGCUAUAAUUUACUUGACCUUGACAAUUUACUUGGAUAACUGUGGUAAUUCUAGAGCUAAUACAUGCACCAAAGCUCCGACUUCGGGAAGAGCGCAUUUAUUAGAACAAAACCAGGCGGCUUCGGCCGUACUCUGUUGACUCAGAAUAACUAAGCUGAUCGCAUGGUCUUGAACCGGCGACGUGUCUUUCAAGUAUCUGCCUUAUCAACUUUCGAUGGUAGUGUAUCUGACUACCAUGGUGGUGACGGGUAACGGAGGAUAAGGGUUCGACUCCGGAGAAGGGGCCUGAGAAAUGGCCACUACGUCUAAGGAUGGCAGCAGGCGCGCAAAUUACCCACUCUCAGAACGAGGAGGUAGUGACGAGAAAUAACGAGAUCGUUCUCUUUCGAGGCCGAUCAUCGGAAUGGGUACAAUUUAAACCCUUUAACGAGUAUCUACGAGAGGGCAAGUCUGGUGCCAGCAGCCGCGGUAAUUCCAGCUCUCGAAAUGCAUAGAAUUAUUGCUGCGGUUAAAAAGCUCGUAGUUGGAUCUGUGCUGGCCGGUCGGUCCACCUUCGGGUGUGUACUGAUUUGGUCGGCUUUCUAGUUGGAUUUUCUCCUAGUGAGCUUCACUGUUCGCUUGGAGUGUCUAACGAGUUUACUUUGAACAAAUCAGAGUGCUUCAAACAGGCGUUUCGCUUGAAUGUUCGUGCAUGGAAUAAUAGAAGAGGAUUUCGGUUCUAUUUUAUUGGUUUUAUAGACUGAGAUAAUGGUUAACAGAGACAAACGGGGGCAUUCGUAUUGCUGCGUGAGAGGUGAAAUUCUUGGACCGUAGCAAGACGAACUACAGCGAAAGCAUUUGCCAAGAAUGUCUUCAUUAAUCAAGAACGAAAGUCAGAGGUUCGAAGGCGAUCAGAUACCGCCCUAGUUCUGACCGUAAACGAUGCCAACUAGCGAUCCGCCGGUGGUUUUUUUGCCCUGGUGGGGAGCUUCCCGGAAACGAAAGUCUUCCGGUUCCGGGGGAAGUAUGGUUGCAAAGCUGAAACUUAAAGGAAUUGACGGAAGGGCACCACCAGGAGUGGAGCCUGCGGCUUAAUUUGACUCAACACGGGGAAACUCACCCGGCCCGGACACCGUAAGGAUUGACAGAUUGAUAGCUUUUUCAUGAUUCGGUGGAUGGUGGUGCAUGGCCGUUCUUAGUUCGUGGAGCGAUUUGUCUGGUUUAUUCCGAUAACGAGCGAGACUCUAGCCUACUAACUAGUCCACACAUUGUCACUGUGUGCGCGACUUCUUAGAGGGAUUUUCGGUGUACAGCCGCACGAAAUUGAGCAAUAACAGGUCUGUGAUGCCCUUAGAUGUCCGGGGCUGCACGCGCGCUACACUGGCAAAAUCAGCGUGCUUGUCCUUCCCCGAAAGGGGUAGGUAAACCCUUGAAAAUUUGCCGUGAUUGGGAUCGGAAAUUGCAAUUAUUUUCCGUGAACGAGGAAUUCCAAGUAAGUGCGAGUCAUCAACUCGCGUUGAUUACGUCCCUGCCCUUUGUACACACCGCCCGUCGCUGCCCGGGACUGAGCCAUUUCGAGAAACUUGGGGAUUGUUGGUUUAGCGGAUUU
rnacentral:rRNA from 1 species